rnacentral:lncRNA from 1 species
GUUAACAUCAUUUGGUAAAUCAUUUCACGGCCGCUCUUCCAUCAUCUGAGAUCUUACCGCUCCAAUUCAGUAUGCUGUUUUCUGACCUGAUUGGAGGUCCAAUAACUGACCAGAUCGAGUGUCCAUCUGCUGACAGCAUACAUUGAUCUAUAUGAGGUAUGGGAAUGGAUCAUAGCAUGUUGACAGUUCAUAGGAGCGCAUCUAUCUUUCUAUCAGCAACUCGAUAGAGGGCCGCCAUUCACAGUUGAAGUUGUGUUAUACCUGGUGGUGGUUCAGAACUGUUAAAUGAACGCAUAUGGAAUGCCUAUGCUAGACCGCAGGUAUAUGUUCCUCUUGAAGGGGAACACAUUUACUACUUCCCCAAGGACAUAUGUGGUGCUUUUCAAAAUGGCAAACUUGCAGAUAGCAUAAAACCCAUCUCUCAAAAUUAAUUCCAAGUCAUCUUGUAUUGCUUUAUUAUGUUGUUGUUGUGU